GGCCUGAACUUAUGUACGUUUUUCCCAAUUGCGAACGAGACCAGGCAAUUCGACGUAUCCUUUCCAGCAUGUAUAUGGUACCUGGUCCUAUGAACCAUUUCCAGAAAUUCGGUCCAUGUAGUAUCGUCAAAAUCCAGAAUGUUUAACGAUCGAUUAAUGAAGAAUCGAAGGAUUAUAGGAUAAUGCCUGUUACUUCGGAUUAUCCUCUAAAUGCUAUAUCGAUCGAUAUACAAUGCAAUGAAAAAUUACUUAUUACCUCGAAACAUCCACCGCGUCGAACAAAUGGCAUGGAACAAAUCGUUAUUACGACGAGAAGAACGAUAAGGAUGACUCCGGUAGGAUUUGCAUAACCUGCUAUGAGCCCAAAUAGAGCUGGCCGACUUGUUAAUAGCCACUCAUACAUCGUAUAGUUGUUGUAGUUAAAAGCCUCGUCAUACACCACAAUAGUGCCUAAAAACAUUUAACGCUUUUACAAUUUAGAAUACAAUUAUCCUUGAUUACAGUUGAUAUCCGAAUGAAUAUUACGGUCGACUAAAGAAUAAUUUGCGAGCAUUCCUCCCGAGAAAUUCGACGGAACUGUACUUGUUCUAGAAAGAGAAGCUUAAGCUUAACUUUAUUUUCACUACCCCGAUUGUAUCGUAUCGUGGUAUAAUGUGAUAUCGUACCAAAAUUAAGAAGGUGCAUCACCGUGUGCACUACGCUGAAUAUACCAAUUAGAGCUCCAGACACUUUGUGAAGAUAGAUAUGUUGAUCUAAUGGCAGUACAGAAUUAAAGCCAUGAGUUCGUAGAAAGGUAAUACACUGACGCAACAUAAGAACCAGGAUGAAACUGCAGUUGAAGUUUAAACACUGGCCUGUAUUAAAAUUACGUUUAUGAAAAUAUGAAUGAUAAUGAUCAGUGAGGGCGAUUUAUAAAAUAUAGCAAAGGCGAGACAUUUACCACAGGCACGCGCAACCAUAACGUAGCCAUUAGACGUUCUAUAUUCGUAGAGUCUUGUUACGAAUAAGGCCACAUUGAUUGAGACGAAGAUCGAGAUGAAAACGAUGUAAACGUAAUUGUUUUUCAUAUAUGGCUUCGUUAACUGAUAAGGACGCAAUGAAGUGGUGAGAAAUUCAAACCGUGAUUUUCGCUUCGUUUCCGGCUUUGGCGGUACCAGCCAUCGGUCGAUACUGUAAUUCAAUAUUCCGUUGUUAAGAGUUUUCUAUUUAAAUUGCAACUUGAAAUUAUCUCCCUAUAAAUUAUAUCAAUUAUAUCGUUUCAUAGGUAUAAAUUAUAAUAUUGGAUAGGCGGAUUCCCAAUAAACUUGAAAUAAAAUUUAAAACAAACGGAAAAAGUGAUUCUCAGAUAAAGCCCUUUUCACCUAAUCGAUAAAUUUUCUAAUAAGCCUUCGUGCUUCUCCAAUUGUUUUUUUAAGGCUUCAAAGGUGAUGGCACCUCGGUUAGCCUGAUCAGCAUCAUCAAACAGGGCCAUAGUUAAUUCCUCAAUUUGUUCUUCGUUAAAUUGUAUACCAUUUUCUUCCAUACAGGCCCUCAUCACGUGUUCCAAUUCGCGAAGUUGUAUUAAUCCGUCACCUUUUCACGAACAACAAAUUUCACAACAAUUUAGAUUCGAUGACGAUUAUUACAGUUAUCGCUUGGCUCUUCGGUCGAUAGGAAUUUAGUUUAAUAUUUAAAGUUACUUCACCAUCUAUGUCGUAAACUUUGAAGAGAAAUUUUAUCUUAUCGUCGGGACUUUUUCCAGCGAACUGGUGCAUCGCAUCGAGGAACUCUUGAAGCGAUAUCGUUCCAGAAUUAUCCUUGUCGAAAAUUUGGAACACCCGGUCGGUGAAAAACGGCUGAAAAGAAAUUAUAUCUUCGAUUAUAUUUCAAGAGUAUAUGAAGAUUUACUGUUCUUUUCAUACUGUUGAUAAUUGAAGUUGAAUCAAUGAUAGAUAUGUAUGGUAAAGUACCGGGUUAUGGUAUAACAACAAGCGGGUAAAACCAAUCAAUGGUGCCGUAUAUCUAAUAUUUCGUAUUAUAAAAUGAACGAAAUGGAAUUGUAAAUAGAAAAAGAAGUAAAUUAAUCAAGAGAAGAAUAUUAAGGUGCAAAUUUCAUAUGUGAAAUACUUAUGCUUUCUGCCUACGUUCUUCGAAGUGACGAUUUUGUUAAAUUCCUCGCGCCUAAUUUCCUUUUCAUUGCCCACCGUCUGUUUAAAAAGUUUUUCCAGCCAUUCCAAACUGCGCUUGUCGAAGCCGGCGAGCGGUCUUUGAACAAAUUUUAUAAGAUAUCAACGAGCUAUUGACAAAUAAUACACGUAACAAAAGAUCUUAAGAAAUUAGGAUAUAUCGUUGAUGAAAUAUCUGCCAGAUAAUUAUACGAUUAUAAAUAACAAUGUUACCUGGUAUUGCUAAUUGUCGAGAGGAAUUCCAUGAUUUGAAACGAUGUUACAUAUCCCAAGUUUUCUUCGUCAAUCCGUCGAAAUAAUUUAUCUACGAUCUGUAAUAUAUGCAUAUACAUACAUCGGUGUCCUAGUAAACGUACGUCAGUGUAUACAUAUUUAUACAGGCACGCUAUGCCAUUUAACGAUAACGCUUACCUCUUUAGUAGAAAAUAUCUGUUGAAAUUUCGGAAAAGUUACUGGAUUAUCGCCACAUAUGCUGUACGCAACGUUCUCGAGCUGGAUAAUAAGAUCGUUUGGUUUGUCAUUUCUGUUACAAUAACAUAUAAGUUUAAUACAACGUAUAUAAUAUAUAAACGAUAAAUGUAAAAAGGUAGUGUUUAUUUGUAACAUGAUUUUGCAGAUAAUACAUAUAUGCAAUACCAUA